GGCAGGGUCUGUCCAGGUGGUCCGACUCUCACGGGUGCUGUUCUUCAUCAAGCAUUAGGGCAAGAGGUGUGGAGCCUGCAGCUCUGGCUAGAUUUUCCAUGCAAACCCGGGCAAAAACCAUUUGUUAGCCUGUGCGUCCUGAUUCCUUUUAUUUCACAGAUGACGUGUCCACGCGUAGGACAUGGAUUUUUGGCACAUGCACGCGUAUUGUGGAAAGAUGAAAUCAAGCCCCACUCGCUCCCAGGAGGAGAGCGUUUAAAACCUGCUCUCCUAGGGACGUCCAGGGUGCUCACGUGAGCCACCGUCCCCGUGCUGCACGCUGGGCCUCCAGGACUCUUCCCUGAAACCAGAACUCUGUGCCCUUGACCAGCAUCCCCACCUCCUCGGACAGCAUUCCAGCCGCGGCUCUGGAUUCAGUUCUUCAGGUUCCACAUGCCGAAUAGUAUUCCAUCGUGAGCACAAGUCACCUGUCUCUA